rnacentral:rRNA from 1 species
GUGGGGAAUCUUCCGCAAUGGACGAAAGUCUGACGGAGCGACGCCGCGUGAGUGAAGAAGGCCUUCGGGUCGUAAAGCUCUGUCAUCAGGGACGAACGGCCGGUGGAGUGGAAAGCCACCGGAUUGACGGUACCUGAGAAGGAAGCCACGGCUAACUACGUGCCAGCAGCCGCGGUAAUACGUAGGUGGCAAGCGUUGUCCGGAAUUAUUGGGCGUAAAGCGCGCGCAGGUGGGAUCUUAAGUCCAUUUUUAAAGUUCGGAGCUCAACUCCGUGAUGGGAUGGAAACUGGGAUUCGUGAGUACCGGAGAGGAAAGCGGAAUUCCCCGUGUAGCGGUGAAAUGCGUAGAUAUGGGGAGGAACACCAGUGGCGAAGGCGGCUUUCUGGACGGUGUCUGACACUGAGGCGCGAAAGCUAGGGGAGCGAACGGGAUUAGAUACCCUGGUAGUCC